GACGAACGCUGGCGGCGUGCUUAACACAUGCAAGUCGUACGGUAAGGCCCUUUCGGGGGUACACGAGUGGCGAACGGGUGAGUAACACGUGAGUAACCUGCCCACAACUUUGGGAUAACGCUAGGAAACUGGUGCUAAUACUGGAUAUGUGCUCCUGCUGCAUGGUGGGGGUUGGAAAGCUCCGGCGGUUGUGGAUGGACUCGCGGCCUAUCAGCUUGUUGGUGGGGUAGUGGCCUACCAAGGCGGCGACGGGUAGCCGGCCUGAGAGGGUGACCGGCCACAUUGGGACUGAGAUACGGCCCAGACUCCGACGGGAGGCAGCAGUGGGGAAUAUUGAACAAUGGGCGCAAGCCUGAUGCAGCAACGCCGCGUGCGGGAUGACGGCCUUCGGGUUGGAAACCGCUUUCAGCAGGGACGAAGCUUUUUGUGACGGUACCUGCAGAAGAAGCACCGGCUAACUACGUG
rnacentral:rRNA from 1 species